AGAAUGAUAAGGGCUAUAUAAUGACUUGCUGUUGUACUUCAGAUUGGAACUUUGCCUCCUUCUCCCAUAUGGGCGAUCUCUCUGUCACCUCUAUAAGUGUUGUUUUUUGUCUAGUGCUUCUUCGUCAUCUUUUCUAUAAGUCUCUCUUUAAUAAUGUUGGCUUUAAUCUUGUACUGCUCCACUUCUGUGCAGUUUCUUCUUAGUCAUCUAAACACAAUGUGGGGAAUGUUUCUGAUUCAUGGUUGAUAGUGGCCACUCUUUUAAAAUUAAGCUAUUGACAUUUACAUUUUUUAAAUGGUUUUCGUCUUGAUCAUUUCUUCUUCUACAUAUGUGUUAAGCUCAAGGAACUCAACCACUGUGUUAUUAUAAGUAGUGUUAAGGUAUACUCACUCACACACUUUUAAAUUUAAUUCCAGACAUUAUAACCAGUUCAAUGAGAUGAGGUAGGUACAGUGCCUACAGUGUCCCUUUAAGGAUUCACUCUCUAAGCUCCAUAUGCUAUCAUUAUUGCAAAGCAUAUGGUGCAAAGUGCAUCGAUAGAGUAUUGGGUGAUUUUGCUGUUUUUCCUCAAUGAUCUCUGUAUGCUUAUUUUUUCAUAUUACUGAAUAAUGUUUUCAUCAUUAUGGUUCCAAUCCCAGCAGGGUUGACUCAACCCUUCAUCCUUCCGAGGUAGAUAAAAUGAGUACCAUUAAACUGUGUAAUAGUAACAACCCCUGGAUGUUGGGCUAAGGUAACAUCCCCAGCACGUACUUAAAAACCAUAGUAAUCUGAAUGUACCUUUCCUACUUAAAUACUUUGUUAUUGUUAUUAUUUUUAUAGUUCAGAAACUUUUUUCAUGAAAACACAUCUGUGUGACCAGGGUAUCAUUCGUGGGAACGUUUUCAUUUUGGUUAAAUUGGAAGCUCUGCCGUAAAAAGAUGUUGCAGAUGAAAUAAUUAAAAUGAAUAUGUGGGAUUAUGUAUUUUUCCUCAUAAAAAUUCUCAUAUUUGCUAAAGUCGGCAUUGGUAAGAAUUCAGUUAACCUGACCAAAUCUGGGAGCAUUUGAUGUCUACUUUAAAUUCAUUGCUUUUUGCAUGUGAAUCCUAUCAAAACUAUAGGAUUCGGUUAAUUACAUAGCAUCGGUGUGUAAAUAGAGAAAAUAUGGACCAAAUUCAAAACCCCCAUUAUUGCUAUAGGGAGAUUUAAAACCUACAUUAUGUCCCCGCCUGCUAUGUUGCUGGUGGGGGCAUGUCUUUUAAAGCAUUCAGCAGCUGGUCACUUUUAAUCAUAAUGGUGACUGUCCUAAUAUUGCUGACAAGUCACUAGAAAGGAUCGAUCACAUGGGGAAGGGGUCAGUAGGGGUGAGGAACCUGGCAUUGGACCUCUGGUGAUGGUUUAAUUUCAAUGAUGAUAAUCUGUCUAGCCCCUACCUCCACCAGUGGCCAGAGGGUGGGAACUCUAAGAUAAUGCGUGGGAGGACAUGGUAGUAUGUAUACUACAGCCCCUGAGUGAAUUUUUUAGUAGUUAGUAGAAUUAUCAGAUCAUAUUAGAAGCCAGAUGUUUAUGGAAGAGUGUUUAUGUAUAUAUGGGUUUAUGUAGAAAUGUGGUAUGAAGCCUGAAACAUGAUGCCUCAUCAAAGUCCAACUUGAGAUAUGCUUAUGAUACAUAUCAGUAAUAUAUAUUCUCAAAUAAACAUUUGUGCUGUUCUUG